rnacentral:rRNA from 1 species
UACGUAGGGUGCAAGCGUUAAUCGGAAUUACUGGGCGUAAAGCGUGCGCAGGCGGUUGUGCAAGACAGAGGGGAAAUCCCCGGGCUUAACCUGGGAACUCCCUUUGUGACUGCACGGCUAGAGUGUGUCAGAGGGGGGUAGAAUUCCACGUGUAGCAGUGAAAUGCGUAGAGAUGUGGAGGAAUACCGAUGGCGAAGGCAGCCCCCUGGGAUAACACUGACGCUCAUGCACGAAAGCGUGGGGAGCAAACAGG